rnacentral:rRNA from 1 species
GGAAGUAAAAAAAACGUAACAAGGUUUCCGUAGGUGAACCUGCGGAAGGAUCAUUACAGUAUUCUUUUGCCAGCGCUUAACUGCGCGGCGAAAAACCUUACACACAGUGUCUUUUUGAUACAGAACUCUUGCUUUGGUUUGGCCUAGAGAUAGGUUGGGCCAGAGGUUUAACAAAACACAAUUUAAUUAUUUUUACAGUUAGUCAAAUUUUGAAUUAAUCUUCAAAACUUUCAACAACGGAUCUCUUGGUUCUCGCAUCGAUGAAGAACGCAGCGAAAUGCGAUAAGUAAUAUGAAUUGCAGAUUUUCGUGAAUCAUCGAAUCUUUGAACGCACAUUGCGCCCUCUGGUAUUCCAGAGGGCAUGCCUGUUUGAGCGUCAUUUCUCUCUCAAACCCCCGGGUUUGGUAUUGAGUGAUACUCUUAGUCGGACUAGGCGUUUGCUUGAAAAGUAUUGGCAUGGGUAGUACUGGAUAGUGCUGUCGACCUCUCAAUGUAUUAGGUUUAUCCAACUCGUUGAAUGGUGUGGCGGGAUAUUUCUGGUAUUGUUGGCCCGGCCUUACAACAACCAAACAAGUUUGACCUCAAAUCAGGUAGGAAUACCCGCUGAACUUAAGCAUAUCAAAA